UGGACCGAGCCGUACGCAGGAGGGCCAAGCCCUGCCGGGUUUCCCAUUGCCCGGUCGACCAAUCUGCGUACGGCUCACCCUU
rnacentral:antisense_RNA from 1 species